CAGUAGCCGCGGUAAUACGUAGGUGGCAAGCGUUGUCCGGAAUUAUUGGGCGUAAAGGGCUCGCAGGCGGUUUCUUAAGUCUGAUGUGAAAGCCCCCGGCUCAACCGGGGAGGGUCAUUGGAAACUGGGAAGCUUGAGUGCAGAAGAGGAGAGUGGAAUUCCACGUGUAGCGGUGAAAUGCGUAGAGAUGUGGAGGGACACCAGUGGCGAAGGCGACUCUCUGGUCUGUAACUGACGCUGAGGAGCGAAAGCGUGGGGAGCGAACAGGAUUAGAUACCCCCGUAGUCCCUGUCUCUUAUAC
rnacentral:rRNA from 1 species